UACAGAGGAGCCAAGCGUUGUCCGGAUUGACUGGGCGUAAAGCGCACGUAGGUGGUUGGUUACGUGGUGUGUGAAAGCUCAGGGCUUAACCCUGAUAGGCCAUGCCAAACGGACCGACUCGAGGCUGAGCAGAGGCGGGUGGAAUUGCCGGUGUAGUGGUGAAAUGCGUAGAGAUCGGCAGGAACACCAAGGGGGAACCCAGCCCGCUGGGCCAGACCUGACACUGAGGUGCGACAGCGUGGGGAGCGAACGGG
rnacentral:rRNA from 1 species